rnacentral:rRNA from 1 species
UACAGAGGAUGCAAGCGUUAUCCGGAAUGAUUGGGCGUAAAGCGUCUGUAGGUGGCUUUUUAAGUCCGCCGUCAAAUCCCAGGGCUCAACUCUGGACAGGCGGUGGAAACUACCAAGCUGGAGUACGGUAGGGGCAGAGGGAAUUUCCGGUGGAGCGGUGAAAUGCGCAGAUAUCAGGAGGAACACCGGUGGCGAAGGCGGUUCUCUGGGCAUGACCUGACGCUGAGGAGCGAAAGUGUGGGGAGCGAACAGG